CAGUCGCCGCGGUAAUACGAAGGGGGCUAGCGUUGUUCGGAAUUACUGGGCGUAAAGCGCACGUAGGCGGAUCGAUCAGUCAGGGGUGAAAUCCCAGGGCUCAACCCUGGAACUGCCUUUGAUACUGUCGAUCUGGAGUAUGGAAGAGGUGAGUGGAAUUCCGAGUGUAGAGGCGAAAUUCGUAGAUAUUCGGAGGAACACCAGUGGCGAAGGCGGCUCACUGGUCCAUUACUGACGCUGAGGUGCGAAAGCGUGGGGAGCAAACAGGAUUAGAUACCCCAGUAGUCCCUGUCUCUUAUAC
rnacentral:rRNA from 1 species